rnacentral:rRNA from 1 species
AGAGUUUGAUCCUGGCUCAGAACGAACGCUGGCGGCAGGCCUAACACAUGCAAGUCGAGCGAGCCCUUCGGGGUGAGCGGCGGACGGGUUAGUAACGCGUGGGAACGUACCCUUUGGUAGGGAAUAGCCACUGGAAACGGUGAGUAAUACCCUAUGAGCCCUUCGGGGGGAAAGAUUUAUCGCCAAAGGAUCGGCCCGCGUUAGAUUAGGUAGUUGGUGGGGUAAUGGCCUACCAAGCCUACGAUCUAUAGCUGGUUUUAGAGGAUGAUCAGCAACACUGGGACUGAGACACGGCCCAGACUCCUACGGGAGGCAGCAGUGGGGAAUCUUGGACAAUGGGGGCAACCCUGAUCCAGCCAUGCCGCGUGAGUGAAGAAGGCCUUAGGGUCGUAAAGCUCUUUCGCCUGUGAAGAUAAUGACGGUAGCAGGUAAAGAAACCCCGGCUAACUCCGUGCCAGCCGCCGC